GAGAUGUUAGUCUAAAAAGACAGUUGAUUUCGACUCAACAGAUUAUGGUUUGAUUCCAUAACACCU
rnacentral:tRNA from 1 species